rnacentral:rRNA from 1 species
AGAGUUUGAUCCUGGCUCAGGACGAACGCUGGCGGCGUGCCUAACACAUGCAAGUUGAGCGGAGAUAUAUGGAGCUUGCUUUAUAUAACUUAGCAGCGAACGGGUGAGUAACACGUAGAUAAUCUAUCCUAUACUGGGGGAUAGCCCGAUGAAAGUUGGAUUAAUACCGCAUAUAGCUAUAUAGUUGCAUGAUUAUGUAGUGAAAGAUUUAUUGGUAUAGGAGGAGUCUGCGGCACAUUAGCUAGUAGGUGAGGUAAAGGCUUACCUAGGCGACGAUGUGUAGCCGGUCUGAGAGGAUGAACGGCCACAAUGGAACUGAGACACGGUCCAUACUCCUACGGGAGGCAGCAGUGGGGAAUAUUGCACAAUGGGGGAAACCCUGAUGCAGCAACGCCGCGUGAGUGAAGAAGGUUUUCGGAUUGUAAAGCUCUGUUAGCAGGGAAGAGGAAGGACGGUACCUGCAGAGGAAGCCACGGCUAACUACGUGCCAGCAGCCGCGGU